AGAUAGCAGUUGUAUGUUUCUUGGUUGUACUAGCUGUGGCCUAUGCCCAGCAGGAAGGCGGUCGACGAGAGGAAGGCGGUAGACGAGAGGAAGGUGGUAGACGAGAAGAAGGAGGUAGACGAGAGGAAGGUGGCAGACGAGAAGAAGGUGGUAGACGAGAGGAAGGAGGUAGACGAGAGGAAGGUCAACGAGAGGAAGGAGGUCGACGAGAGGAAGGUCAACGAGAGGAAGGUGGUAGACGAGAAGAAGGAGGUCGACGAGAGGAAGGUCAACGAGAGGAAGGUGGUAGACGAGAAGAAGGAGGUCGACGAGAGGAAGGUCAACGAGAGGAAGGUGGUAGACGAGAAGAAGGAGGUCGACGAGAGGAAGGAGGUCGACGAGAGGAAGGUCAACGAGAGGAAGGAGGUCGACGAGAGGAAGGUCAACGAGAGGAAGGAGGUCGACGAGAGGAAGGUGGUAGACGAGAGGAAGGUCAACGAGAAGAAGGUGGUAGACGAGAGGAAGGAGGUAGACGAGAGGAAGGUCAACGAGAGGAAGGAGGUAGACGAGAGGAAGGUGGUAGACGAGAGGAAGGUGGUCGACGUCAAUAAAUGUAAAUGUCUACAUACACCCCCAAAAGAACAUUUUAUAAUGCUAUUAAAUAAAUUGAUCUGAAUUUUA